rnacentral:misc_RNA from 1 species
CUUAUAAAUAUACGAAGAAGGAAAUUGGUGAUCGAUCGGAGGGAAAAUGGUGAGAGAGACCGAAUAUUACGACGUGCUUGGGGUCAGCCCCACCGCCACUGAGGCGGAGAUCAAGAAAGCUUAUUACAUCAAGGCGCGACAGGUUCAUCCAGAUAAAAAUCCCAAUGAUCCUCUUGCUGCACAAAAUUUUCAGGUGUUGGGAGAGGCAUACCAAGUUUUGAGUGAUCCUGCCCAACGGCAAGCAUACGAUGCAUAUGGGAAAUCUGGAAUCUCAACAGAAGCAAUUAUCGAUCCAGCAGCAAUUUUUGCUAUGCUUUUUGGUAGUGAGCUUUUUGAAGACUAUGUAGGACAGCUUUCCAUGGCAUCAAUGGCUUCACUAGACAUUUUCACAGAGGGAGAACAGUUUGAUACUAAAAAAUUGCAAGAGAAAAUGAGGGUUGUUCAGAAGGAGAGAGAAGAAAAGCUUGUACAGAUAUUGAAAGAUCGACUCAAUCAGUAUUUACAAGGGAACAAAGAGGAAUUCAUUAAUCAUGCUGAAGCUGAUGUAACUAGGCUCUCAAAUGCAGGUAAUUAUCAUUGUCUCUAAAUUGUUGCACAAAGGUGAGAGGAAGAGCAAGUGGAUUUAAAUAAUAGGAUCAAAGAAGGAAGAGAUAGACCAAAAUGAUGUCAGAUGAAGACAUGAAGUGGCAAAAGGUGAUGUAAUACCACAAUAGCUUGCAGAAAAAUGUUUCAUCCUAAACAGGGAGAAAAAAAGGAGAAAAAAGAUACACGUAGGUGACUCCAACAAGUUUUAGGCUGUGGUUUAAUACCUUUAUUUGGUUUGUAUAUGUUGGACUCUUCAAUCAUCUGCCGUGGACUCAGAGACUUGCCUUGCACACUAGGUUUCGGUAUUCCUUUUAAAGCUCAUGAUUCUCCUACUAAAGAAAAGAUGAAGUUGAAAGGCAUGCUUCGCUUAUUUUAACAGGAACAAGAUAUGGAGAGGAAAGGAUCAUUGAAUGCACUACUGGUCUCUUACAGCACACUCAGGCAACAAUAUGCCAAUUGAAUAUGGCCAAAAUGAAGAAUUAGUUUCUCACCCUUUUUCCCUAGUAAUAUACUUUUGCCAAUACUGUCCUCCUUGACCUGAAAUUCACAUAUGAAAGAAGGCACGCUACCUCUUUCAGUUCUUGAGGAUGGGAAAAUGACUUUCCCUUUGGGAAAGCGGUAGAAACAUGAGAGAAGGUAACUUCCAAGUUAGCAGUUGUGCCCGCUUGUCAUCCUGACCUCACUUAGGAAUAGACAAUUGAAAUACCAUCAAUUUAAUUUCGUAGUUUGUAUCCUUUUAUUAAAAUGUCUUCUUUCACAUCCACAUUCUUUUCCUUUUUUUAAUGAGUAACUCAUUCUUUUACUUUUCUAAUGAAUAACUCUUUGACCAUGCUAUAAUUGUGGCUUACUGUCAAUGGAAUACGAACUAUUGUUGGCUUCCAUAUCCAAAUGCAAGCAGAGUCAGAGUUGGUGAAAAUUGUUGGUCAAUGACUCAUUCAAGAAUCAAUUGUUGGUCAAUGACUCAUUCAAGAAUCAAGGAUUGAACUUUUGGGAUGGACCCUGAGCAAUCUGUGUCUCAUAGUGAUCUCUUCUUAUCUUUUGUACAUAGUAUAUAUACCUUUGUAGGAUUAUGAUUGGCAAACUACUGCUUUUACUUAAUUUUGCAUCCUGUUUACUACAGCAUAUGGUGUUGAUAUGUUGAAUACAAUUGGCUAUAUCUAUGCAAGACAAGCAGCCAAAGAGCUUGGAAAAAAAGCAAUAUAUCUGGGUGUGCCAUUUGUUGCUGAAUGGUUUAGAAACAAAGGCCACUUCAUUAAAUCGCAAGUAACUGCAGCAACAGGUUAGUAGACACCACUGGCUUUGGUGGCCAAUAACCAUGUCUAUCUAGUUAAUGUUUUGGACUUUGCAAAAGCAUUGUUGUCUCUUGGAUGACCACUAUUCAGGAUUGGCUAAUAUAUAAAGCGAUAUUAAUUGGAAGUAUUCUCAACACAUGCCAAGUGUGUAUCUGAGCUUUGUUUCUGUGGUGCAUGUUUAUGUGGGUUUCUUUUUAAGGUAAACGUAUCAUCCUCGUACCUAUACUGUUUGUGUAAUUGAGAUUCAUUAAAAAGGCUGGUUUAAAAGGUUAAUUCAUCCUAAACCUUGGUUUAUUCCCUUUGGCCACAAACAUUACAAAUCUCAGUGGAGAUCGAUAUUAGCAAAAAUUAAUUCAAACAUUUGUUGCUCGAAAGUUUUAUUGAGAAAAAAAACUUUGUAGGCUUUGUAUUUAUUUAUUUUUCCUUGCUGGUGGUGCUAGGUGCCAUUGCACUUAUACAGCUACAGGAAGAUAUGAAGAAGCAGCUUAGUGCAGAGGGAAACUAUACUGAGGAAGAGCUUGAAGAAUACAUGCAAUCACACAAGAAGCUGAUGAUUGAUUCCUUGUGGAAGCUUAAUGUGGCUGAUAUUGAGGCCACUCUUUCUCGUGUUUGUCAUACGGUUGUUUUGCUAGUCCUUAGAUAUUAAUGGUUGUUGGUUGAAAUUGAAUUAGAUACCAGGUCUAAAUCAUUUGGUGAUAAUCUAUUACUUGUUUAUUUUAGGUACUUCAAGAAAACAAUGUCAAGAAAUACGAGUUAUGUGCACGAGCCAAAGGGUUGAAAACUCUUGGUAAAAUCUUCCAGGUGUUUGCAUAUUCAUUGCAAGAUCUUCUAAAAUAAAUGUCCAAUCCAUUAAGUACCGGGAACGUAUGAAACUUGUGUGCAUGUAGAGAGUGAAGUCAUCUAAUGGAAGUGAGAGCGACACUGCGCUAGAUGGUACUUCACAUAAACUGAAUGGAAGUGCACCAAGCCAUGAUACAUCUUGUCCUAAUACUUCACCAAAAUCUAUAAAUCUUGAAGAGCCAUCUUAUAGUAUAUUGGCAUCGCAGGUAUGUUCCUUCUUCCCAUAGAAUAUUGUUCAGACAAGGAUCCAUUCAAACCUUUUCUUUUUGUUUAUUCUGUUGGUGUUUGAGCAAAUUCAUCUAUUUCAGUAGGUGUUAAAACUUUGUAAUCCAUGUUUAAACAAAGUUAAUAUUAAUAGUUCAGCAACAGCUAAAUCUAUUUUGAGGUAACAAUUUCUGGUUAUGAAAGUUCAAAAAAGGUCAAAUAUGGAUACAAAAUAGGGUGUAACAAAUAAACAGUUUAUUUGAGAAGUCAGUUCAGAAUGAAAAUCUUUUUAAAACUGUGUAUUGGCAAUCCAUUUUCCUGCCAGUCACCAGGAUUAUAGACUCUCUCAAGAAAAAAAAUUGAAGAUUUUUUGUACAUGCAUCUGUUAACGUGUAAAACCCGUUCUAUCAACAAAUUACAACUCCUUAUGAAGGGAGCUGUGUUCUGAUCUUGUGUGCAUGUGCCUUUGCACGUCUCUGUAACUAUUCAGUCCAAUCAUUUCUGUUCCCGUCUCUGUGUGUGCAUGUCACACUUAGGUUCAGACCCCUCACAAAACUCUGUACCUAGCAACCAAAGAUGCAAUCUAUCAACAUCAAUUGUUGCAAAAUUUAUGAUAAGUUUAGAAGAAUUUAUCAACGUAUCAAGUUAAAUAAUCAGAAGCUUUUAAAUACCUAUUUUCACACGUGAAAGAGCAAUACUCAAGAUUUUGAAAAUGGACUGACAUAUCAUUUCUUGGGGUGGGCAUUCGGUUGAUUCGGUUUAAAAUCAAACCUCUCUAAAAUUAUAAACCGAACCAAACCUCUAAGAAUACCAAACUGGUUCUGUUCGAUUCGAUUCAAUUCAAUUUGUUUGGCCAAUUUUCUUUUCCAAUGGUCUUAUGAUACAUGCACUUGCUUUUUAUGGCCAAUUUGAACCAAUUUUCAGGUAGAAGAAAUAAUUAAAGAGGGCAAAGCCAAGAGAAGCAAACAGAAAUCUAACUUUGAACUAUAAACUGUUACCAGAAUGCAUGCUGUGGGUCCAAUCAGUUGUAAGCCAGAGAUGCAAUUACACAGAACCCAGAAUCAAUAACGGGCGGUCGAGCAGUAAACCCAACUAAAUCAAUCCAUAAUCAACAAAUUACACAGAUCCCAGAAAGCAAAACACAAAGAGGAAGGAGAGAAAAGAAAUACUGGAACGUUAUUCAGCAACAGCAAGCAAGAAUCAAAACAUAAUUACAUGUAACACAGCCAAAAUGAAAAUCAAUCAUAAAAUCAGGACCCAUUUUUUCUAUCAAAAACUAGGCUUAAAAUUCACCAGAACUCAAAAUUAGAGAAAGAAUCUACCCAGCAAACUGAAAUGAAAUACUCAAAAUUAGAAAGAAUCUAUAUGAAGAACAGAGCUUCAAGGAGAGAAGAACAGCUUCAACGCAAACAGAGGGCUUCAAUGAAAAUUGAGUGUUGGGGGCAGUGUGGAGAGGUGGUCCAAGUGUUUUCGGUUUGAGGGUGGCUUUAAACAGGCGGCAACAGAAGGUGAAGAAGAAGAAAUUGCAGAUCUGUCACCUGAGGGCUGAGUGAUUUUGGUUUCAGUUUGAGGUGGUGUGGAGUCAUUGUCUAGCGGACAAAGGGAGAGAGAACUGAGAGAGAAAGGGAAAGGGAACUAGGGCUUAACUAUUUGGGAAGGAAGCUUCAGAAAAUGAAGAGUAAGGCUGAGGAAAAAAGAUUUUUAAUUCAUAUAGGCCAACCCUAAUAACUAAAUGAUGCAUCUUAUUAGUGUUCGGUUCAGUUCAGUUUAAUUGAAAAUUUUCCUCUCAAAACCGAACCAAACCGAAUAAACCGAACCAUCUAAAAUUAAAAACGAUGUGGAUCCGAAUUAAUUCGGUUUGGUCGGGUUUUUCGGGAUGAACCGAAUACUGCUCACUGUGAAUCAUUUCUAAGACUUAAAUGCAUUGGCCUCAGUAUGGGUACAUCUUUCUCUCUUUUGAAGGAAAUGCCAACAAACUUGAUAUUUGGACAAUUUGUCUAUGAAUUCCUAUGUUCUAGCAGCUUGUUCUAGAAAUUGUAUUGUUCCAUUCAGCUGCCUAGGCCAUGAGAUUAGAGUCUACAGCAAGCUUUCUAGUUAAUCGUUGCGUCCAGUUUUGAUGGGAGCUGGCUUUGAUUGGUCUCCUGCAAUCCACCUUUCUUUUGAUUGGUUCUGAGUUUGCUUGGGUCUGAUGUAGAAUCUUGAGCAAAGUACAGGUUGCUUACAAGCACAAAAGUUACAUGCUGCUUGAGCUUAUUCACUGAGAAGAUAUUUAUUAAUUCAUCGUUAUCAACCAAAGAUGCAUGAGAUAAAACAGUUUAUUUGAGUUUGUUUUGCUAGAGUGCUAUCAGACGCAAUCUCUUCCCAGUUUCUCUUUGAACUCCUACUCUAAAUUCUUUUAAACUCUUCUGAUAUGCAUUUCUGUCUGAUACUAACACGGGUGCAAGCUGGCUCCUCUCGACUUUCUUGUCUUUCUUCUCUUUAGGAGCUUCAUUUCUAAACUCUCGUCCAAAUAUAAUCACUUGCAAACUUGGAACCUUUCCAUUCUAUCCUCCGCUGUCUCUCUCGGAAUGGACUAUGGGAUUAGAGGAGUCUUUAGUUGUUAAUUUACAGUUACAGUUGUUUAGCUAAUAAAAAGGAGAUAUGAAUUGUAAUAUUCAUCCAUUGAAUAACAGAUCAAUACAAAUAUUUCUUUUUCUCUUAAUCUUAUCUCACAAUUCUUCUUCCUUUCCUUUGCUAUGUUUCCCUUGCUUUCUUUCUCUUUCUCCCUCUUUUCCUAACUUAUACACUUCCCAAUCACUAUGGUUAGGACCAUGUGAUCUUGGAUCCUAACAGUCUCUUAAAGUCAUAUUUCUCCAUCCUUUUUCAUUUGGUUCUUUUUCCCUUCCAACCUCCCCUGCCUCUUAAACUCACAUGUUAACUUUAUGCACCCAGCCCAGCAUGGAAACUUACCCACCUUUUUCUUAUAAUGAGUCCGGAUUAAUUAAACUGCUAAAUUACCAAAAUAGGAAUAUUUACAAGAAACUCGACCACUGAAGACACAAGUGCACAUGGACACAUUCUACCAUCCAUCAUGAUGUGGAAGCAUUCAAGUUGAUGCUUCAAGAUGAGGCCUGGCCACCUGGGCCUUGGCUCUGGUGGUUCUGGUUGUGUAAUUGUAGUAAACCUGAGGUUUAGCAUUGCCUAACCAAAAUAAGUAAAUAAAUAAAUACUGUAGUAAAUUUAUAAUAAUUCUUGAUAUAAAAAUACAAAAAAAUUUUUAGUGUUCAAUUUAAUCUCCAACAAUUGCUUGUACAUGUUCCACAUUUCUUUACAUUUAAAAGAAAAGGGAAUGGGAGAGGGAUCAUGGAGAAUAAAAUCUUAUUCAUCUUAAUUUCCAUCAUUUGUCAUUGAUGAUAUUUGAUUUAUCAUUUUUCGUACACUAACAAAAUUACUGGACGGUAUAGAACCCCUAUGUGAAGAAUGCACACUUUGCUGCACCCGGGUUGACAACUACCCCUGGCCAAUAGCACCUCAUGGUGCAGCAGAACAUUCAGUGGGUGGUGACUGAUGAUGGAGAAGCGAGAUCCAUUGCUUGAAAGCUAGUAUGCAUGUCAUAAUAGUGUGCAUCAAGGAAGGGGGUUGGGUUUGCAUUUGUGGAAUUUGUUUCAGGUGGAUGAUCUGGAAAACAAACCUCUAUACGGCAGUAGCAGGCAUUUAACGAUAUAAGUAUAAAAGACGACCAUUUAUACAGAGAUAUGAUUAUAAUUUUUUUUCGUAAGUCUUUAGAUGGCUGCUGUAACGUGUCUGUUUUGAUUCGACAUCUAGGUUCAGGUUUUUGGUUAGAUAUUUGUUCCUCGGUUACCUGUGUAUUAUUGUUGUUAAGUAGACAUAAGUAUACUCAACACUUUUUUAGUUUGGUCAUGGAGCCAAUAUUGGAGUCGCCAUUUGAUCCAGCACUGAAGGAUGCCUAAACGUAUAAUUACUUGAAUGUAAGAGAGGAAAGGGAGCGAAGCUUGGAGAAUGAUAAUUGCGAUGGAAAAAAUGAUUGUCGUGUCCACAAUGUCUUGUUGCCGUUUCCACUGAAUGCCUUGGGGUUAUCUAAUGGCAAAAGUUUCUGAAUCUGAUUUAUUCUUCCCGAUCUUGAUUUGGGUGGGGGAUGAGAAGAUCUUUUCUUUGCCUUAAAUUUUUGUAACUUGCGUCGCGUGAUAAUAUAUUAUUAUUUUUUAUUAAAAAAUAAUUUAUUUUUAUAUAUUUAUAUAUUUAAAUAUUAUAAUUUUAAUAAAAAUAUUAUUAUAUUGUUAAGAUUAUGUUUAAAAUUAAUAUUUUUAACUCAUAAUUUAUUUUUUAAUAAAUAAA